rnacentral:lncRNA from 1 species
CUGGCAUAUUAGAGAUGCUAAUUUAGUCUUCUGUCUUUAUUACAUGAUCCCAUUUAAAAGAAAAACUCCCCCAGUACCACUCAUCUGAUUGCUUAGGGUCUCGUGCUGUGAUGUAUAAAGUUUUACAGUAAUUGCAAAAGCAAUGAGUAACACCCCAGGCAGUAAAUAAAUCACAAAGUACAUUAACUCAAAACACUGAACGUCAAUUUUGUAGAACACUAUAGCACAGUGUAAAAUAAUAUUACCUACAGUCUAAGAAUGGGAAAGUGGGAAUUCAUUUUACUUUAAUUUUUAAUGCACGUCUGACUGCUCAAAUGAGAUAUUAAACGUUAACAUAAUGUAAUAUAUAUUCUGGCAUUUAUUAAACCACAGAUUCAUGAACAAAUUAAGCAAUAUGUAUUUUUUAAGUAUUAAAGAUUCAGUAGUGAAUCUUUAGCACUAUGUAUUUUUAAGUAUUAAAGAUUCAUAACUUGAAUGUCAAGAAGGAAACCAUUAUCAGCACAUUCUGUGGAAUCCCCCAAAGAUUACACACCCCAUAUGCUGAAGGAUUGUGAAAGGUUGCAAUCUGCUCCUUGAUAAUCCCAAGAGAGGUUGAGAGACAUUAUGCUUUAACUUGUUCUGAUGAAUGAGUUAGCUGAACAUUGAAGGAUGGCAAAAAAUCAGGGGAUGAAUUUCCAUCCUCGAUGCCACCUUUCUGUCUAACAGAGAAAGAUCCAUUUCUUAUACUUGGGCAAAUCAAGCUGCAUUAUGGAGGGUCUGUCUACCACAUAACCAUCACUAAUGAUGCAGAUGGGAGAGCUACACUGGGAACGAUGUUGCUUAGUCUGAAUGACCAUCAGCAGGUGACAUUUCACUGCUGAGGUCUUCGAAUUUGAGGGACCUGCCUUGAAUUCUGAUUCUUUAAAUACAAAAACUAACACAAAAUAAGCAAAUUAGGAUGCUUUUUCACAAAAAGGAAAGCUUUGUCACUCUAUAGGGACUGAAUUAGUGAAUAAGCCAAUCAGAUCCCUGACCCACUGAGCGGGGCCAGGGAUCUAACCUGCAUCCUCAAGGAUACUAGUCGGAUUUGUUUCCAAUGCACCACAACAGGAUCUCCUCUUCUUUUUAAAAAAGAUCCAAGUCUUUAACUUGCGAUAAUCAAAAGUGAUAUUUCCAAUAAACCGCUGUCGUCUUCCCAUAACAGGUGGGCACAUCCUUGCAGAGCCAACCCCUGGGGAUGGUGCUCUUUGCUGCCUCCCACACCUCUUUCACAGAGAUUUUUGGUAAUUCAUCCUCAUUCCUGGCUGUGGUAUGUUGGCCUAGCUUAUUGCUCCUGCCUGAUUCCCAGCCAUCCAUAAGCUUCCUGCUUCAUAUUCUUCCCUGUCUAAUCCGUUCUUCAUACUGCACAGCGUGAUUUUUCUAAGACACAAAUAUUUGAUAUCUUUUUACUUAAAAUUAUUCAAAAUAAAGUCCAAAUUUCUUAGCAGGGUGCAAUCCUGUAGUGUGAUUCCUAUGCAGAUCACUUGGAGUUUGCACAGAGGUACAGGUUGAGGGCACUGUCCUUGAUGAGCGGUUUUCACUGCAGAUGCCAGCCACAAGUUCGGGGCGGGGGCGGGGGGGAACCCAGGCUGCCUGCACUUCUGACCAACUCGCUGCAAAUUCAAGGAUUCCCUCAACUACCUAAAACAACUCACAAAACUCUCUGGAAAGUGCUACACUUAAAACUAUAGUUUUGUUAUAAAGGAUGCAAAUCAGGACCAGCCAAAUGAAGAGACACCCUGGGCAGGUUGGGGACCAUCCUGAAUGUAGAACUUCUGUGCCCUUUUCUGGUGCAAUCAGGAUGCACCACCCUCCCUGCACAUCGAUAUAUUCAUCAACCAGCAAAAUCGUGUCUUGCAUUUUAUUGACAUUCCAUUAUGUAGACAUGCUUGAAUUAUUGGUCAUGGGAUGGAACUCAAAUUCUAGCCUCCUUCUACCCCCUCGAGAUUAUCUGGCUCAAAGCCCCAAAUCUCAGGGUUGAUCUUUCCAGGAUGGCUGGUCCACAGCCUACAUCAUUCAUCAGCAAAAACUCAGGUGAGGUCAGGGGCCACCAUGAAUAACAAAGGAUCACUCAGGAAACUCCGAGGAUUUAGGGUUUCGUCUGAGAACCAGGGACAAGGAUGGGGAAAAUUAUUGUACAACACAUGGCAUCAGGGUUUGGCAGGACCUGACCCCAGCCAAUCUUCCGAGGCUGACCUCAGCCUCUCUUACUGCACUGCAGACACAGAGCCCUGCUUGGGGGUCCUUGAACACACCUUGCUGUUUUAGGACCUGGAAUUCUGCACAUACUAUUUUCUUACCUACAUUCGUUUUCUCCUUUGUCUAGCCAGUGAACUCCUCCUUAUUGGUCAAGACCUAAGCAAGCUGUUCCACCUCUGUGGAGCCCUUCCAGGCAGGGUUAAUCCCCACCUCCGCAGUGCUGCUAGUAUUCCCUGUUUAUUUAUAGAUUAUCUUUGCCCUUUGUCGAGACGUUUGUAUGUACUGUUGGCAUGUAAUGUAGUGACUGCUGAAUGAAGGUUUCAUGAUUUGUCUAUAUUAUUUGAAGUUAUAUUUGUCUUUUUAGAAGGUGCCCUCUUGCCCUGCCAUUUUUGCCUCCUCACUCUUCAUGCUCCAGCACAGGAAAUUCAGGAUGUUCCAGUAGUUCAUCGUUACAAACGUCCUUCUUGGCUACCGGUGAAUGAGCUAGCCCUUAAGGUCUCGUGGCUGACAAUUCCUGCCCAGCCGUUCGUGUUUUGGAAAGAACAUGGAUAACGUUGAUGAGAUGACACAAGAAUUGAGGUUUGCUAAAUAUUUAGAAAUAGGAGAUAGUUAAUAGAACAUUUUAUUGGAUGAAAUAUUAUGCACCUAAUGCAUAUUUGUGAGGCUUGUUGUACAACAGAGAAGUGCUUAUGUAGAAUAUUAGAAGGAAAUGUAAUCACAACUAUGAUUAAAAAAAAUACCCAUAAACUAGGACAUUAGAAAAACAUAAAGGAGACUAUGUUUGGGUAAUAAAAGUAUGGGAUGCCAUUUCCCAUAUUUUCUUUAUAAUUUUCUGUAAAACUUUUUUUUUUCUUUUUUUGAAUCAAGCAACUACUGCGUACUUAAAACAGUGGGAAGGGAUAGUUCUCUCUCUGCAUUCCUAAAUGGGUGGGCACAAGGUCAUUGACUUAGAAAAUGCACAACCUGAAAGUUAAGUUUUAUUUGGGGCAAAAUUAUGACUUAAGCCUGGGAGACAGCAUCUCAGGUAGCCCCAAAGAAACCGCUCCGAGGAGGCAAGGGAGGAGCGAGGAUAUAUAGGAGUUUUUGCAACAAAGAGCAGGUAGCUGGAACCAAAGGGACCUGGGCUCACUGAAAUCAUCACUUUAAUAUGCACCUCUUUGCGGGUUCGAUCCCUGCCCUUGCUCAGUGGGUUAACGAUCCGGCGUUGCCGUGAGCUGUGGGGUAGGUUGCAGACGCGGCUCGGAUCCCGCGUUGCUGUGGCUCUGGCGUAGGCCGGUGGCUACAGCUCCGAUUCGACCCCUAGCCUGGGAACCUCCAUAUGCCGCGGGAGCGGCCCAAGAAAUAGCAACAACAACAAAAAGACAAAAG